UGUUGUUAGGGAAGAACAAGUGCUGUUCGAAGAGGGCGGCACCGUGACGGUACCUAACGAGAAAGCCACGGCUAACUACGUGCCAGCAGCCGCGGUAAUACGUAGGUGGCAAGCGUUGUCCGGAAUUAUUGGGCGUAAAGCGCGCGCAGGCGGUCCUUUAAGUCUGAUGUGAAAGCCCACGGCUCAACCGUGGAGGGUCAUUGGAAACUGGGGGACUUGAGUGCAGAAGAGGGGAGCGGAAUUCCACGUGUAGCGGUGAAAUGCGUAGAGAUGUGGAGGAACACCAGUGGCGAAGGCGGCUCUCUGGUCUGUAACUGACGCUGAGGCGCGAAAGCGUGGGGAGCAAACAGGAUUAGAUACCCU
rnacentral:rRNA from 1 species